UAAAUUUUUAUUAUUAUUUGAAAGGGAAGAGUAAAAAUCAUUGUGGAAACAUUUAGACUAAGUUUUUGAAUUACUAACUCUGAAAAACAAUCUAAGACACCCUGUCCCAAGAAAAAUCUGAAAGUUAUUAAUGACUGAUAUAAUUAGGUCAAUCAAAGCAAACCAGAUUAGAAAAUGACUUUGUCUCAGUGUAGGACUUUUGCCAUUGCUUUAUGUGGUUGAUUGCCUUAUCCCUUUUGUAUAGAGAUAUAACCUAAAAAAAAAAAAAACAAUUUCACCUGUAGGAGUAAGCAGCUGUGUUUCAAGCUGCUGCCCUUUUUGUAAAAUACAGAAAUUGCUUUCAGAUGAGUUUCAGGUAUAUUAUACUCUGCCUGUAAUGAGUCAGGUAGGCACUGUGGUAGGUAGAAAGGAUACAAAUAUCCUUUGUGUGUGUGUGAAAGACACAAUUUCUGACCACAGAAUCUAGUAAUAGUAUUGUUUCUGAGACAGGCACAGAGACCAUAAUUUUACUAUAAUGUGAGUAUUACAUGAGAGUUAUGAUACAAAUCUUCCAGUUGAGCCUUGAGAAAUGGAGAAAAUGUCAGAUAGAUACAAAAACCUGGAAAGGUGUGUUGGCCAGGGGGGCCAGCAUAAGCAGAAGGCAAAACAAAAUUUAACAAGCUAGAUUUCCAUAAGUUAAUUGAUAUUUAUUCCCUAGUAUCUCCAUGACAUAGAGAUGUUUAUUUUGGAAAAA